CUUUGAGGAAAUUAGAGUGUUCAAAGCAGGCGCUUGCUUGGAUACUGCAGCAUGGAAUAAUGGAAUAGGACUCGCGUCUUAUUUUGUUGGUUUGGGAGAUGUGAGUAAUGAUGAAUAGGGACAGUUGGGGGCAUUGGUAUUCAGUAGUCAGAGGUGAAAUUCUUGGAUUUACUGAAGACUAACUAGUGCGAAAGCAUUUGCCAAGGAUGUUUUCAUUGAUCAAGAACGAAAGUUAGGGGAUCGAAGACGAUUAGAUACCGUCGUAGUCUUAACCAUAAACGAUGCCGACUAGGGAUCGGCGGGGGACGUUUAGCGUUCUCGCCGGGACCUUGCGAGAAAUCAAAGUUUUUGGGUUCUGGGGGGAGUAUGGUCGCAAGGCUGAAACUUAAAGGAAUUGACGGAAGGGCACCACCAAGGAGUGGAGCCUGCGGCUUAAUUCGACUCAACA
rnacentral:rRNA from 1 species